AUAUUGAUUUAUAUUGCUUUAGAUCAGGGGUGUCAAACAUGCGGCCCCCCCAGAUGUUGCUGAACUACAACUCCCAUGAUUCCCUGGCUAUCUGUUUCAUUGAAAGAAUCAUGGGAGUUGUAGUUCAGCAACAUCUGGGGGGGCCGCAUGUUUGACAACCCUGCUACAUUUAAUAUACAUCCUUAU